AACCUCACCCUUUUUCUCCCGAGCUAGAACAAGGACCCGAGGAAUCUCUACUCACGAUUUUUAGGGUUAGGGCACGCGACAAGCUUCACCGACGGCACCUUCCCUCUUCUUCCUUCUUCACCAUCGGUCGACGACUUUCCCUCUUCUUCUCUUCACUGUCGCCAGUCGACCCUUCCAUAGUUCUUCUUCUUCUUCUUGAUUCUAGUGGCGAGUGACAGUAGACUCUUCCAGGUGGCGGUAGGCUUCGACAGCGACUCCGUUCAUCCACCUCGCCGGAGGGGUUCUCCGGUGAGAUCUCCAUCGUCCAAUUCCUUCUAGCAGCUCCACCAUUUGGGGUUCAGGAGGCAAAGCAAGGAGGCAGCGACGGCGGUUUCUCACAUUUCACAACAUCUCCAUUUCCGGCCAACUUUCAUCCAAGGGAGUUCAUCGGUGGAAGAUUUAUAUCAUCCUCAUCAUUGUCGAAGUGUACAGUAGUCCGGCAGAGUGCUACUGUUCAUCGGAGUUCAGGGUUCGAUCUCUGGGCCCUUGCAUGAUGGCUAGGGUAGUCCUUGGUAUCGAAAUGGAUGAAUUGAUUAUGGUUUAGAUUUCUUAGUUUAAUUAUGUUAAUUGUGUCAAUUUGCUUGUGUUGACGCUUUUGAUUGAAUGCUUGUAUCAAACUUGAUUCUCCAUGCUUAAAUUGCACAUAUUAUACUUAAUUAGUUUCAUGCACGCAACGUAUUCGAUCAAUUGCUUCAACCAUUAGUUAGGUUUAAUUUGAUGCAUUUUAGUUUGUUUAAUUCUUGCUUUGUCUUGUUCUUUCAAUUUCGUUAAGUUCUAGUUUUGAUUGAAUGCAAUUAGUUUAGAUUAGAUUAGAUUUCUUUAAUACUUUAGGGUUCAUUAAAUGUUUACUUUAGUUCAUAUUACUUUUUAUUUUCUGCAAUUAUAGUUAGGUUAGACUUAGCUUGUAUUACUUACAUUGUCUUUCAUUUAAUAGAUUAUGUUUCAUUUAAUGCUUUAUCAUUACAUUCCUUAGUUUAAUUGUGUUGAUAGUUAAUCCAUAGCAUAGUGUGACAAUGCGUUGUGGAUUAAUUAUUCACACUUAGUUAGAUUUCAUUCCAGCACUAGAUUAUUUUCCUACUUGCUUUGCUUUUCAUUCGUUAGAUUUAGAAUCAAAAUCUAUUUUCAUAUUAACAAUCUCAAACAUAGGAAUAACAUACAAUCCUAGAUUACCAUCCUAUCGUUGCUUUCGUUGGGAGACGACCUGAGUCAUUUCUAUACUACAUUAGUGUAGUUAGAGGGGGUUUAGUACUUAAAUUCUUUUGAUAUCGUUUUCACGUCAAAUCAAAAAUUGGUGCCAUUGCGGGGGAUGUGUAGUGGUGUUUGGUGAUCUUAGGAUUGUUUUUCUAUUUUCUCCCUUGUCUAUUUCAUUGAUGGUUGGAUAAAUUCAAAAAUAUUGUUAAGGUUUAAUUAUUUCAUAUCUUGUAUGCAUGUGUUCUAUCUUGUCUAUUUCUUGUGUCUUUUGAUUGUAUUUGUAUAAGUGUUUCAUAUAAGACCAGGAAAUUUGUGUUAUCAACAGUUUCAGAGUUUCAGUGUGUUCAAGAUCUUAGACUUGAUGAGCAACAUGGAGAAGAACACUGAAAAGACUCUCAGAGAGCUUUGGGCACCAGACUUGUCAGAUGAUUCCUUUUGCAUUAGAUAUUCUGAUUUGGAAGUAGACUUUGAGUAUGGCAUAUUGUACAUUUAUUACCGAAGUUUCAUGGACUAUCUGGUGAGGAUCCCAAUAGACAUAUGCAAGAUUUGGAGAUGGUUUGUUCUUCAUGGAACCCACUUGGCAUAUCAGGAGAUGAUGUUAGACUUAGAUCAUUUCUAUUUUCGUUAGCAGAUUCAACAAAAAAUUGGUUGUAUUGUCUCCCACCCAACUCUAUCACCAGCUAGAUCGAGAUGAAGAAAUUAUUUUUGGCGAGGUUCUUUCCUGCUUUUAGGAUUGCAGCUAUUCAUAAGAGUAUUUGUGGAAUUAAACAGUUUAUAGGAGAACCAUUUCAACAAUAUUGGGUAGAUUUAAAGGACUUGUUGCUAGUUGCCCUCAACACUAGAUAAGCGAUCAACUACUGAUUAUGUACUUCUAUAAGAGAUUGUAUUCCAUGGACAGGAGUAUGGUUGAUGCAACUAGUGGAGGGGCUCUAGUUAACAAGACACCUACUUAGGUCAGAGAAUUUAUUAAUAUUAUGACUACAAAUUAUCAACAGUAUGUGACUAGACCGAUGAUUGCUAAAGAUGUUCAUUCUUUUUCCAGUGUAUUCCCUACCAGGAUCCAGUAUUAUCAACCUAAUUCUUAGUCUUAUCAGACUCAUCAGCAGGAUUGGUAUAAUUUAUUUGCAAGAUUAGGGUAUGAGAACACACAACAAGGGAUUUCUGAGUGGUCCUAGUAUUAGCAGCCUUACUUUCAGCACCAUCAGCCUAAGAAGCAUUUUAGGGAGUAGUCACAACAAUUUUUGCAACAAGAAACACAAUUCAAGCCAAGAACACAUUCAUUGAUACAGUUAUAGUUGCAUUCAAAUCAACCUACUGCAUCAAUUCUCGACGAGAUGGAUUGUAGAAAUUGUGAUAUUUUUUACUUUUAUUCUGCUACUUUACAUGACUUUUCUAGUUUUUUUUCAUUGUGAUGUUGUAGUUGAUCCUGAUAAUAUUUUUGUUGAUGAUGUUGUUGUUCCAGAUAUUCUUGAAUUUGCAGGUGUUUUUGAUGAUGAAAGUGUAGAGGAGUCCUAAGAAUCAUUUCCUUUGACUAUUCCACCACCAGCUGAGCCAGUUGAGCCUUUUAUUGUACAUAUUGAUGAUGGAAGUGUAGGGGAGACUCAAUAAUCACUUUCGUUGAUUGUACCUGAUCCAGAGCCAGAUCCUUCACCUGACCAAGAUAAUGUCGCAUUCACUAUUUUAGAACCUCCAGGGAAGCAUUUAGGCUGUUGAUCAGGAUCAAAUAAUCCAAGAGUUCAUCAAGAAGUGGAGCUCCAAUUCAAUGUAAUUCCAAGUCCAAUUUCAAAAACCCAACCCCAUCCUCAAGUCCACUCUUAAAGCCCAAUUCCAAAAGCCCAAUUUCAUCCUCUUAAUAGAUCUAGAUCCCAUCAACCAAAACCAAAAUCCAAUAACCCAUUAACCUUACCCUUUUUCUCCCGAGCCCGAACAAGGACCCGAGGAGUGUCUACUCGUGAUUUUUAGGGUUAGGGCAAGUGACAAGCUUCACUGAUGCCACCUUCCCUCUUCUUCCUUCUUCACCACCGGUUGAUAGCUUUCCCUCUUCUUCUCUUCACUGCCGCCAGUCGGCCCUUCCUUAGUUCUUCUUCUUCUUCUUGAUUCCAGCGGUGAGCGACAGCAGACUCUUCCAGGUGGUGGUGGGCUUCGGCAGCGGCUCCAUUCAUCCACCUCACCGGAGGCGUUCUCCGGUGUGAUCUCCAUUGUCUGAUUCCUUCUAGCAGUUCCACCAUUUGGGGUUCUGGCAACAAUGCAAGGAGGCAGCGGCGACAGUUCAUCCCAUUUCACAACAUCUCCAUUUUCGAUCAACUUUCAUUUGAGGGGGUUCAUCGGUGGAAGAUUUGUAUCAUCCUCAACAUUGUCGAAGUGUGCAACAGUCUGGUAGAGUGCUACUGUUCAUUGGUGUUCGGGGUUCGAUCUCUGGGCCCUUGCGUGAUGGCUAGGAUAGUCCUUGGUAUCGAAGUGGAUGAAUGGAUUGUGGUUAGAUUUCUUAGUUUAAUUCUGUUAAUUGUGUCAAUUUGCUUAUGUUGAUGCUUUUGAUUGAAUUCUUGUAUCAAACUUGAUUCCCUAUAUUUAAAUUGCACAUAUUAUGCUUAA